UAGACAGAAGCCUGCUGGAUAGGGCAUUUAGCUGUUAACUAUACUAUUAUGGGAUCAAGGCCCAUCUGUCUAG
rnacentral:tRNA from 1 species